CCGGCGCCGAGUUCCUGGGCUCCCUCAUCGCCCGUCCGCCCACCCUGUCAGCAGCACAACGCCGAGGCUCCGGAGCCCGAACAGGCCACACUCAGAUACUGCACACUACAGCAACUGAUGUCGAUGGUGGAAGGAAUGAAUGCUGUACCCAUCCAGGAAAGUGGGGUGUAUUCCAUCACACUCCUGACUAGUGCUUGUAGAUGAUGGACAGGCGUUGGGGAUUCAGGAGGCUCCACGGGCAGCAACUACCUUCACCUUUCAUCUAUGGAAGCUGGCACCAGUGAAACACCAGCCUCACCACAUCAUCAUGGCUGAUCUUGGACAGACUCGUAAGACACUUCAGCACUUGACCCGCUACAUUUUGGAGCUGACCAACACCUUACAGUGUAAAGCUCCUACAGGGAGAUCUGUGCAGAGACACACUCAUGCCACACACAUCCGCACAUAGUGUAAUUGAUGCUCUUAGCCCCUACUUUCUUAACACUUACUCACUUUGCACUUAGAAGUAUUCUCAUAACUUCUCUGGUUUGCUUUGUCUUUUAGCAGCUUGCCACUUCAAUGAGAACUUACAAGUUCACAGUAUCUAUGACUUAAUUUAUUUGUUAGUGUUACAGAGAAGCCGCAGUUUGUCAUGGCUACUAGCACUGAACAGUCAAGUGGAUGAUCAUAUUGUAGAGCAGAGUGCUACUCCAAUGAUCCCUGGAAUGAUAGGCCUAACGUACGAUGACCGGCUGAGGAUCAUGGGAUUGUAUUCAUUAGAGUUUAGAAGGUUGAGGGGAGAUCUAAUAGAAACAUACAAGAUAAUGCAUGGCUUAGAAAGGGUGGACACUGGGAGGUUGUGUUCGUUAGGCGGGGAGAUUGGGACCCAUGGGCACAGCCUUAGAAUUAGAGGGGGUAAAUUUAGAACGGGAAUGAGGAGACAUUUCUUCAGCCAGAGAGUGGUAGGCCUGUGGAAUUCAUUGCCACAGAGUGCAAUGUGUAGUCUCUUACUUUGAGAUUAUGCCUUCUGGUCCUAAACUCUCUCACAAUAAGGAAAACAAUUUUUCCAUAUCCACCCUGACAAAUGCCCUAAGAACCUUUGAUGUUUUAAUAAGCUUAAUCAGGCCCAAUCUACUCAAUCUGUCCUGAUAAGAAGGCCUCUCCAUAGUCAAUGUCAGCCGAGUGAACCUUCUCUGAUCUAACUCCAUUGACAUUAUAUCUUAGAUAAAGGGCUCAAAACUGCUCACAAUAUUCCAGGUGUGGUCUGACUAGGGGUCUAGCAUACUUUCAGCAAAACCUCCCCACUUUUAUGCUCUAUUCCAUUUGAUAUAAAGACCAACAUGCAUUUGCCUUCCUCAUUACCCGCUGAACUUGGAUGUUAGCAUUUUUGUGAUUUAAAGACAAGGCCUCCCAAUUCAAUUGGCGUACCCGGAUGGCCUUGAUAAGAAAUGACUUUAAAUUGGCCCAAAGUCGAACCUACCAACCUUGUAUUUUCAGAAAUCCGGUCUGAGACUGAAUUAAGAAGGCAGCAGCCACAUGUGACAGCCAGAGAUUCAAUUGGGUCGCCGAGGACAGAGGCAAUAAAUUAUCAGAUUUAAUUGGAACAUUUACGUUUUCGGUAUUAUUAAAAUUGACUUUGGACUUAGCUUUGAAAAUCAUGGCAGACAAUCAAUCCGAAUGGGAGAGCUUGGUUAAGCGAUAUUUUAAUAUGAAGUUACUGAAAUGGAUAGAGCAUCAGGAAGCUUGUGAUGUUACAAGCCCUGGGACACCGGAUCAUAUGUUAGAGUCAGUCAGGAAAUCCAUGGGAAAAAUGCACACAAACAGGACAGACUGAUGAGAUAUUGUUGUCUUUUCGCACAAACUUGGUACAUGAUACAUGGGAUGAAGCAGAAAAAUGCUGAGAUAAGUGAGUUAAAUUCAGAAAAUAUGGAAUUGCGUCAGAAAUGGCAGAACUUGAUGCCCUAGAAAAUGUCAGUCAGGAAAGGGGUGUUUUCAAAUUAGAAAACACUGAGAAAGGUUAAAUCCCUAGAGACUGCCAAUCAAAAGAAGAUAGUUUACCUCAGAGAUAAUGGGAACUGCAGAUGCUGGAGAAUCCAAGAUAACAGAACACAGCAGGCCAAGCAUCAUCUCAG